rnacentral:rRNA from 1 species
UACGGAGGGUGCGAGCGUUGUCCGGAAUCACUGGGCGUAAAGGGCGCGUAGGCGGCGCGGGAAGUCAUCGGUGAAAGUUCAGGGCUCAACUCUGAAUCGGCCGGUGAUACUCUCGUGCUUGAGCACUGUAGAGGCAGGUGGAAUUCCGGGUGUAGCGAUGGAAUGCGUAGAGAUCCGGAAGAACACCGGUGGCGAAGGCGGCCUGCUGGGCAGUAGCUGACGCUGAUGCGCGACAGCGUGGGGACGCAAACAGG